rnacentral:rRNA from 1 species
UACAGAGGUGGCAAGCGUUGUUCGGAAUUACUGGGCGUAAAGGGCGCGUAGGCGGCCUUCUAAGUCAGACGUGAAAUCCCCCGGCUUAACCUGGGAACUGCGUCUGAUACUGGAGGGCUUGAGUGCGGGAGAGGGAUGUGGAAUUCCAGGUGUAGCGGUGAAAUGCGUAGAUAUCUGGAGGAACACCGGUGGCGAAGGCGGCAUCCUGGACCGACACUGACGCUGAGGCGCUAAAGCUAGGGUAGCAAACGGG